AUUGAACGCUAGCGGCAGGCCUAACACAUGCAAGUCGAACGAGUGGCGGACGGGUGAGUAAUAUAUGGGAACCUGCCCGGUAGCGGGGGAUAACUACUCGAAACGGUGGCUAAUACCGCAUACCAUCGGAUGUGCCCAGAUGGGAUUAGCUAGUCGGUGGGGUAAAGGCUCACCUAGGCGACGAUCCCUAGCUGGUCUGAGAGGAUGACCAGCCACACUGGAACUGAGACACGGCCCAGACUCCUACGGGAGGCAGCAGUGGGGAAUAUUGCACAAUGGGGGCAAGCCUGAUGCAGCCAUGCCGCGUGUAUGAAGAAGGCCUUCGGGUUGUAAAGUACUUUCAGCGGGGAGGCGUUACCCGCAGAAGAAGCACCGGCUAACUCCGUGCCAGCAGCCGCGGUAAUUC
rnacentral:rRNA from 1 species